rnacentral:rRNA from 1 species
CGUAAGCGCGCGCAGGCGGUUUCUUAAGUCUGAUGUGAAAGCCCCCGCCUCAACCGGGGAGGGGCAUUGGAAACUGGGGAACUUGAGUGCAGAAGAGGAUGGCGGAAUUCCACGUGUAGCGGUGAAAUGCGUAGAUAUGUGAAGGAACACCAGUGGCGAAGGCGACCUCCUGGACUGAAACUGACUCUGAGGCGCGAAAGCGUGGGGAGCAAACAGGAUUAGAUACCCUGGUAGUCCACGCCGUAAACGAUGUCUGCUAGGCGU